rnacentral:ncRNA from 1 species
CACUCUGGAGACAUCCGGGCAAACCGGGGGCCGAAGGUGCAAGAGCGGCAAGGACGCUGAAUCUCUCAGGCAAAAGGACAGAGCA